rnacentral:rRNA from 1 species
AACGAACGCUGGCGGCAGGCUUAACACAUGCAAGUCGAACGCAUGCCUUCGGGCAUGGUUGGCAGACGGGUGGGUAACCGGUGGGAACCUACCCCUUGGUACGGGAUAGGUCUGGGAAACUGGAGCUAAUACCGUAUGUGUCCUGAGGGACAAAGAUUCAUCGCCAAGGGAUGGGCUCGCGUCGGAUUAGCUAGUUGGUGGGGUAACCGCCUGCCAAGGCGACGAUCCGUAGCUGGUCUAAGCGGAGGAUCAGCCACAUUGGGACUGAGACACGGCCCAAACCGCUACGGGAAGCAGCAGUAGGGAAUAUUGGACGAUGGGGGCAGGUCUGAUCAAGCCAUGCGGCGGGAGUGAUGAAGGCGGUAGGGUUGUACAGCUCUUUCAGAGGUGACGAUAGUGACGGUAACCGGUGAAGAAGCCCCGGCUAACUUCGUG